rnacentral:lncRNA from 1 species
GCAGGCCACCCAGGCAUGAUGCCUCAUCAGCAGCCCCCUCCAUACCCCAUGAUGCACCAUCAGAUGCCACCACCCCAUCCUCCCCAACCAGGUCAAAUACCAGGCCCUGGCUCCAUGAUGCCUGGGCAACCUAUGCCAGGUCGCAUGAUUCCCACCGUGGCAGCCAACAUUCACCCUACUGGGAGUGGCCCUACCCCUCCCGGUAUGCCUCCAAUGCCCGGAAACAUCUUAGGACCCCGGGUACCCCUCACAGCACCAAACGGCAUGUAUCCUCCUCCACCACAGCAGCCGCCGCCGCCUCCUGCAGAUGGGGUCCCUCCACCUCCUGUUCCAGGCCCUCCAGCCUCAGCCACUCCCUAGCCUGGAAGACCAGGGAACCUCCACAGCCACCACAAGCUGAACU